rnacentral:misc_RNA from 1 species
AUUUAGUUGGUUGAGUCCAGUGUCCAGUUUUGAUUGAGCAGUAACUCGGAAAGUAGUGUUCCGUUUGAUCAACAUAUUUAAAAAAAUUGUUUAACAAUCAGUAGCUACUGAAAGACCUAUAUCAUUGGAAAUUUCGUGGAUUCCGUAAGCCGGAAAUUUUUCCAUAAGCACUGAUUUAUACUUGAGAGACGUCGAUGUUGCCCAGUUCUUCGCGAUACGGUUCAACUUUCGACUACUGUGUCUACGUUGUGCUGAAAAAUUCGUCUAAGACUUUCAAUCAGUCGUCACUGUGCCUAGUUCAUCGCAGUACUUAUUCAACUUCCAACCACGAAGGGCAGGCGUUACAUGGCAUCGCACAAUUCGUUUACAGGUACUCUGAGAUGCUGUCGCCGCAGUUAUGACCCCCUGGACUUCCCC